UAAAAUUUUCGGAUAAGCCAUUGUAUUUUGUAACAUCCUGUGGGUUUGUAAUUGUAAGUUGUAACUGCUGCAUGUGUUCUUAUCCUUUUUCUAUCUUUAUCCACUCUAUCACUGUGAGCAUGAGCUUCAAGAUUCCUUCAAUAAUAAAUUUCACGGUGAAGUUAGCUCAGCUUUUUAUUUUUCUCAUUAUUAUGUGGACCAUUAAGACCCCACCUCGUGAUUAUUCCGGUUUUGUGGCUUGGCUUGAUUGCACAUCAUUUGGUGGAGGCUUGGUGCCGUUGAUUGAAGUUUGGGUUGAUUGGGGAGAAAAUCCAAGUGUUGAAAAAACUGCCAUAAAAAAGGUUUACAAGGUAUGAAUGGCUUAAAGAAUGAAGAUAAAGCAUGUUAAAGUGGAAGAAACACAAGAAAUUGAAGACCUUAGGAGCGAGGAGCGACGCGCACGCAUGGCUGACGCGUGCGAAUGACCAGGAGCGUCGUUCAGCGACGCGUACGCGUGGUCGACGCGUACGCGUAACCAACGCGUACGCGUGACAGAGCGUCACGUGCUGCCCUUAACAGAACUUGCUGGGGGCGGUUUCUGGGCUGAUUUGGACCCAGAUCCAAGCCCGAAAACACAGACUAGAGGCAGGGAUAGAGCUGAGACUAGACUACACUUUUCCACUUUAGUUUUUGGAUGAGUUUUGAGUUCUAGAGGGAGAAACACUACUUCUCUCAGGGUUUUUUAUGUUCUUAGUUUUGUUUGGAUUGGGAUCUUGAGAGAGCUGCUACUACCUUCAAUUGGAGUAAUUGUUCUUACAGUUUUCUUCUCUAUUACUUUUCUUUUUCCGUUUAAUUGCU